rnacentral:rRNA from 1 species
AACGAACGCUGGCGGCAUGCCUAACACAUGCAAGUCGAACGAGACCUUCGGGUCUAGUGGCGCACGGGUGCGUAACGCGUGGGAACCUGCCUUUAGGUUCGGAAUAACUCAGAGAAAUUUGAGCUAAUACCGGAUGAUGUCUUCGGACCAAAGAUUUAUCGCCUUUAGAUGGGCCCGCGUUGGAUUAGCUAGUUGGUGGGGUAAAGGCCUACCAAGGCGACGAUCCAUAGCUGGUCUGAGUGGAUGAUCAGCCACACUGGGACUGAGACACGGCCCAGACUCCUACGGGAGGCAGCAGUGGGGAAUAUUGGACAAUGGGCGAAAGCCUGAUCCAGCAAUGCCGCGUGAGUGAUGAAGGCCUUAGGGUUGUAAAGCUCUUUUACCCGAGAUGAUAAUGACAGUAGCGGGAGAAUAAGCUCCGGCUAACUCCGUG